ensembl:lncRNA
GCCCGUCAGCGACAGCGAUGGCGUCGCUGGGAAAGGUCCGGUGGCGGCCAUGGAGAUGCCCGGGGGAAGCGGGAAGAGGGGACCCAGCGGUGCCCUGCGAGCCACGCCUUGCCGCGAGCAAGAAUGUUAGAAUUAAAUAUGCACAGGGAGAGACCACCGACAACGCUGCCAGUGAUGCCAGCACUGAUCACAGCAUGCUGGAUGCCAGGGACACUGCAGUGAUGGCUGAGAGAUGCCCACGCCUUCCUGGUUUUGCCCUGAUACAGUGGAGGGUGUGGAUGAAGAAUGGGAAGACAACUGUGAGGAAGAAGCUGCUGAGGCAGCCAGUGUGCCACCAAGCAUUUCUGGUUCCUCAUCUGGCGAGGUGAAGACCGCGCCUUCAGCUUCCCCUGUGGCUGCAGAACCCGGACCCAAGGGACAUUCACCUGCAUGCAAAGGAGCAGAAACUGCAGGCAAUCACAAGCACAAGGUUUCUGCAGAGGGCAGAGGAGAUGCACAGAGCUCCGGCUGCUUCAGAGAUGCGCCAGAGGAUGGCCCCGGUGUGUCACUAAGUGGAGACUCAUCCCAGGGAGGGGCCUGCCGAGCCUGGCCGGCCCACCGAGU